rnacentral:rRNA from 1 species
AUUGAACGCUGGCGGCAGGCCUAACACAUGCAAGUCGAGCGGAGCGGCGGACGGGUGAGUGAUGCCUAGGAAGCUGCCUGGUAGUGGGGGAUAACGUCCGGAAACGGGCGCUAAUACCGCAUACUAGCAGUUGAGCCUAGGUUGGGUUAGCUAGCUGGUGGGGUAAAGGAUUACCAAGGUGACGAGCCGUAACUGGCCCGAGAGGAUGAUCAGUCACACUGGGACUGAGACACGGUCCAGACUCCUACGGGAGGCAGCAGUGGGGAAUAUUGGACAAUGGGCGAAAGCCUGAUCGAGCCAUGCCGCGUGUGUGAAGAAGGUCUUCGGAUUUUAAAACUCUUUAAAUUGGGAAGCGUUACCAACAAAAUAAGCACCGGCUAACUUCGUGCCAGCCGCCGCGGUAAUAC